UGCGACCCCAGGUCAGGCGGGAUUACCCGCUG
rnacentral:rRNA from 1 species